rnacentral:rRNA from 1 species
CCUACGGGUGGCUGCAGUGAGGAAUAUUGGUCAAUGGCCGAGAGGCUGAACCAGCCAAGUCGCGUGAGGGAAGACGGCUCUACGGGUUGUAAACCUCUUUUGUCGGGGAGUAAAGCGAACCACGUGUGGUUCAUUGAGUGUACCCGAAGAAUAAGCAUCGGCUAACUCCGUGCCAGCAGCCGCGGUAAUACGGAGGAUGCGAGCGUUAUCCGGAUUUAUUGGGUUUAAAGGGUGCGCAGGCGGAGGUGCAAGUCAGCGGUCAAAUUGUGGGGCUCAACCCCGUACUGCCGUUGAAACUGCAUCCCUUGAGUGCGCGAGAAGUAGGCGGAAUGCGUGGUGUAGCGGUGAAAUGCAUAGAUAUCACGCAGAACUCCGAUUGCGAAGGCAGCAUACCGGCGCGCAACUGACGCUCAUGCACGAAAGCGUGGGUAUCGAACAGGAUUAGAUACCCGGGUAGUC